rnacentral:lncRNA from 1 species
GAGGACUGAUGUGCUUUCACUUGACUGUUUUCUGUGAACUAUUUCUCCUCUGCAUUGCCCCUCUGCCAUGCCACCUGCCUUGGAGUCAGCCAGCUAUGGACUGAAACUUCUACGAACUGACUGAAUUAAUAGUAUUUCUACAGCAAUGGUGACAGUGUACUGAAAGACAAGCAACACCAGGCAUGAUUCUCAACUCAAGAGUUCUCGGACUGGCAACCUUGGGACUUCAUCCACAGACCUGCCUGUCUGCAGCAGGCUUAUUCGGUGUUUUCUGUGUGACUGGUGACCUCGGGACUGCGUCCGCAGACCUGCCUGGCUGCAGCGGGCUCCACAAGUGUCCAUGUUUGACCAUCUCUUGAUUCUGUAGAAGACUG